AGAGUUUGAUCAUGGCUCAGGACGAACGCUGGCGGCGUGCCUAAUACAUGCAAGUUGAGCGAAUCUUGAGGUGCUUGCACCUCUUGAUUAGCGGCGGACGGGUGAGUAACACGUGGGCAACCUGCCUGUAAGACUGGGAUAACACCGGGAAACCGGUGCUAAUACCGGAUAAUCCUUUCCCUCUCAUGUGGGAAAGCUGAAAGUCGGUUUACGCUGACACUUACAGAUGGGCCCGCGGCGCAUUAGCUAGUUGGUGAGGUAACGGCUCACCAAGGCGACGAUGCGUAGCCGACCUGAGAGGGUGAUCGGCCACACUGGGACUGAGACACGGCCCAGACUCCUACGGGAGGCAGCAGUAGGGAAUCUUCCGCAAUGGACGAAAGUCUGACGGAGCAACGCCGCGUGAGCGAUGAAGGCCUUCGGGUCGUAAAGCUCUGUUGUUAGGGAAGAACAAGUAUCGGAGUAACUGCCGGUACCUUGACGGUACCUAACCAGAAAGCCACGGCUAACUACGUGCCAGCAGCCGCGGUAAUACGUAGGUGGCAAGCGUUGUCCGGAAUUAUUGGGCGUAAAGCGCGCGCAGGCGGUCCUUUAAGUCUGAUGUGAAAGCCCACGGCUCAACCGU
rnacentral:rRNA from 1 species